AGCAACAUAGCUCAGAGGAAGAGUAUCUGGCUCAUAACCAGAGAGUCGGUUGAUCGAAACAACCUGUUGCUA
rnacentral:tRNA from 1 species